rnacentral:snRNA from 1 species
GUGAUCGCUUUGGCAGCACAUAUACUAAAUUGGAAUGAUACAGAGAAGAUUAGCAUGGCUCCUGCACAAGGAUGAUAUGCAAAUUCAUGAAAUGUUGACUAUUAGA